rnacentral:rRNA from 1 species
UCGAGGGGCAGCAUGAACUUAGCUUGCUAAGUUUGAUGGCGACCGGCGCACGGGUGAGUAACACGUAUCCAACCUGCCGAUGACUCGGGGAUAGCCUUUCGAAAGAAAGAUUAAUACCCGAUGGCAUAGUUCUUCCGCAUGGUAGAACUAUUAAAGGAUUUCGGUCAUCGAUGGGGAUGCGUUCCAUUAGGUUGUUGGCGGGGUAACGGCCCACCAAGCCUUCGAUGGAUAGGGGUUCUGAGAGGAAGGUCCCCCACAUUGGAACUGAGACACGGUCCAAACUCCUACGGGAGGCAGCAGUGAGGAAUAUUGGUCAAUGGACGAGAGUCUGAACCAGCCAAGUAGCGUGAAGGAUGACUGCCCUAUGGGUUGUAAACUUCUUUUAUACGGGAAUAAAGUGAGGCACGUGUGCCUUUUUGUAUGUACCGUAUGAAUAAGGAUCGGCUAACUCCGUGCCAGCAGCCGCGGUAAUACGGAGGAUCCGAGCGUUAUCCGGAUUUAUUGGGUUUAAAGGGAGCGUAGGCGGACGCUUAAGUCAGUCGUGAAAGUUUGCGGCUCAACCGUAAAAUUGCAGUUGAUACUGGGUGUCCUGAGUACAGUAGAGGCAGGCGGAAUUCGUGGUGUAGCGGUGAAAUGCUUAGAUAUCACGAAGAACUCCGAUUGCGAAGGCAGCUUGCUGGACUGUAACUGACGCUGAUG